UACGUAGGCAGCAAGCGUUGUUCGGAAUUACUGGGCGUAAAGAGUGUGUAGGCGGUGCUCUAAGUUUGUCGUGAAAUCUCCCGGCUUAACUGGGAGGGUGCGGCGAAAACUGGAGUGCUAGAGGGUGGGAGAGGAAAGCGGAAUUCCUGGUGUAGCGGUGAAAUGCGCAGAUAUCAGGAGGAACACCGGUGGCGAAGGCGGGUCUCUGGGCCGAAACUGACGCUGAGGAGCGAAAGCGUGGGGAGCAAACAGG
rnacentral:rRNA from 1 species